AUGAAUAGCCAACUGUUCCCUUAUCAUAAAUAUUAUAUACCUUUAAUAGGUAUUAUGUUUUGAAAAAAUGGAAUGUUAAUAACCUUUUAAUGCCAGUUUAAGAAUAUUCGAUGCACCAAAGGAGAUGGAACUGCUGCGUGGAGCGACCUAAUUAUGAGAUAAUGGUUCGACCCGUCACAGAGUAGAGGUUAAACAGUUACCUGAAAAACGGAGCCUGUCCUUAUAAGGAGUCUGGAAUAUAAUCUGGCCUACAUGUGGUCGGUUGUUCGUUCAUUACACAUGUCCAUAAUACAUGCAUGUUGAAGAGAACUGUAUUUGCAUAUAUUUGCAUAUAUCCAGAUAUUUCAACAUACUGAAUGUCAAUAUUCUACUCAUGUUAUCGAUCAGUGUAAUAUUGCAAUAAAUACGUUCAAAUGGCA